AAUAGAGAAAUGUUAUUUUAAUAGAAUAGAAAAUGAAUAGUGGAUGAGAUGUAUGAGAUUUUAAAAAAUAGUAAAAUUUAAAAAAAAAAUUGUAAAAUAUGAAUUUUUUAACCACGUUUUAGGAAAAUUUAUGGAUGACUCACGUGUAAAUGCUGCAAGACGAACAACAAAUAGCCCAGCUUCCUCGUCAAAACACACAAUGCCAUAAUAAUGCCUUUUGUGGCUUCGGUGGUACUUCAGAUUAACCCAGCCCAGUUGCAAAUUUCUCGGAUUUGCAGACUUUAUCCUCAGAGGGUCUACGAACCAUAAGAAGAGAGAGGCCGACAAUUCAGGCAAUUCAGUAGCGUCGCGUUGUAGCAUCUCAAAUCUCAAACUAGGUAACCAUCCUUCAUUCGUAUCUCCUAAAUCAACCGGAUUUUCUCUCAACCAAAUCCAAGGACCCAAAAACUAAAGCACAGACCUUCGCAAACUAGCGACGCAAACUUUUUCUCAACCUCCUAUCUCAAAUGCAUCUCAGGACUUCCUAAUUCCAAGGACCCACAAUCUCUGACAGUCUCCUUCCUCCAAGAUUCAUGUGGGUUUUCCCUAGAAUCGGCCAUUUCAUAUUCCAAGAAGCUCAUCAUUGAGAACGUAAAGAAUCCCAAUUCAGUUCUUGACCUGCUGAGAAAUCACGGUUUGACGCAGACCCACAUCAGCAACUUAAUUAGAAUUCGUCCACUAUUGCUUUCGGCUGAUUUAGACAAUACCCUUAUGCCCAACAUGGAAGUGUUUGAAUCCUUGGGGUUUUCUGGCUCUAGUCUAGCCAAAAUGCUUAGCAAACACCCAGCUGUGCUAGAAAGUGAUGCACACGCUGCUGUCGAGUUUUUUUAGGGCACAUGGUUUUAGUGACAUGCAAAUAACAACUUUGAUGAUGAUUUGUCCCUCAUUGUAUACGUAUAAUGCUCAAAAGAUUUUUAAGCCAAAGUUGGAUUUUUUCAAGUCGUUAGGUUUUUCAAAUCUUGAAAUUACAAAGAUUUUAUCCUCAGAGCCGUAUAUUCUAACAAGGAGCCUCGAAAAAACAAUCAUUCCGUCUGUUCAAGAGCUUAGGCGGAUUCUUGGAACUGACGAGAAUGUCUUAAAGGUUAUAAAGACAUACUGCCCAGUACUUAGAACAAACGUUGUACAUACGCUACAGCCCAACAUCGCUACUCUGAUAAGCCAUGGUGUUCUCCAGUCAUUAGUUUUGAAUUUCUUUAGUAGACCAUCGUCUCUGCUUAUCUGUGGCAAUCGGUUUAGUGAGAUUGUUAGUGAAGUUAUGAAAUUGGGUUUUGAUCCCAAUUGUCUGAAAUUUGUUCUCGCCAUUAGAUCCAUGGCACUAAAUAGUAAAACACUGUGGUAGCAGAAGGUGGAAGCUUUUAGCAGUUUUGGUUGGUCAAAGGAUGAGAUUUAUUUUGCAUUCAAGCGGCAACCCUUGUGUAUGACUGUUUCAGAGAAGAAGAUCAAGAAAAUGAUGGGUUUCUUUGUGAACAAACUGAAGAUGAAGCCUUCUAUGAUCUCCAAUUGUCCGAAUCUUCUAAUGCAUAGCUUGGAGAAGCGGAUUAUUCCGAGGUGUUCAGUUAUGCAAGUUUUGAUGUGGAAGGGGUUGAUCAAGGAGGAUACCAUUGUUUAUAUGCUCAUAAUGGCCGAGAAGAAAUUCAUGGUGAAAUUUGUGAGCAAGUAUCAAAAUGAGAUUCCUGAUGUUGUUAGAGCACACCAAGGGAAGAUAGAAUUUCAAGGGCUCCCCAUAGCCAUGGAGAUGUGAGUACUUUUGACAUAAUCAAAUGCGGCAUUGGCUAAAGAUCAUGGGUUCAGUUUUAGUUCAACUUGUUAUGGAGAUGUCUCAGAAACUUUGUAUGGAUGAUGCUUCCUUAUCGUGGAGAAAAAGGAAGAAGCACUUUUUACCAGAAACUGCACAGUUUUCAUGCCAAUGCACAUUUUUAUAUUGACUCUCAGCCUCACAUAUUGACUGCCCGAUACAGAGACGGAUUCGGAGACGAACACAAGCUAGCAGGAUUUUCUGAUUUUGCUGGUUUAUGAUGGGUUGAAAUGUUUGAUUGUGCGGAUUUUGUGAUGGGCUGAAAUGUUAUGAACAAAAUGUUCAGGAUCUAUUGCCCAUACUUCAUAGUCUCUAUCCAUUGUCUUUGUUUUUAAUUUUUGGUGAUGGGCGGUGUUUUAAUUUGCUGCCGUGAAUUGUGGAAUUGGGCAGUGAAUUGUGGAAUUAAAUGUUGUGGAAUGCUGUAGACUGUAGUGUUCUUCUGAUUGGUGUAGUUAGAUGUUGUAAUUUUAUUGUUUCUAGUGUGGAAGAGUUGUUUUGUUAGGGUUUUUACAGUUUGUUAGUAUUGUGUAUUAUUAACUUAUUAUACUAGAGUUAUUAGUGA